rnacentral:rRNA from 1 species
AUACGGAGGGUGCAGGCGUUAAUCGGAAUUACUGGGCGUAAAGAGUACGUAGGUGGUUUGUUAAGUCAGAUGUGAAAGCCCCGGGCUCAACCUGGGAACUGCAUUUGAAACUGGCAAGCUAGAGUAUGGUAGAGGGGGGUAGAAUUUCUAGUGUAGCGGUGAAAUGCGUAGAUAUUAGAAGGAAUACCAGUGGCGAAGGCGGCCCCCUGGACCAAUACUGACACUGAGGUACGAAAGCGUGGGUAGCGAACAGGAUUAGAAACCCUAGUAGUCC